CAGGGGAUUAUACCGGGGUCAACUCGGAGGAAGGGGGGGAUGACGUCAAAUAAUCAAGGCCCUUAUGUCUAAGGCUUCACGCAUGCUACAAUGGACGGUACAAAGGGCUGCAAUACCGUGAGGUGGAGCGAAUCCCAAAAAGCCGGUCCCAGUUCGGAUUGAGGUCUGCAACUCGACCUCAUGAAGUCGGAGUCGCUAGUAAUCGCAGAUCAGCAACGCUGCGGUGAAUACGUUCCCGGGUCUUGUACACACCGCCCGUCAAGUCAUGAAAGUCGGUAACACCUGAAGCCGGUUGCGCCUAACCCCUUGUGGGGAAUU
rnacentral:rRNA from 1 species